CCCCGCGACCUGCGUUUUCCUGGGGGUCCAGAACUCUUGGACCCCUCCCCCCCAGCGCCGGCCAAGUCCUCAGGCAGGCUCCUGUCGCAUCAGAGACACCCCCCUCACACCACCACCACUUGUCCAUGUCCACCCUCAAGUCGAUGGCCUCCCUGCCCACCCCCUCCCCAGGAGGCUCUUUUGAAUCGGGUGGAAAUGCCAGCCUGGGGAGCCGAGUUCCCCAGACCCCCAGGGCCGAGCGGACGCGAGAGCCCCCCAGGGGCUGGGAGGCCGGCCGAGCUUGAAGAAGUGGAGGGGAGACCUGCACAACUUAAGUGGGGCGUCUCCAGCCGGUCUUCCUGCUCACCUUCUUCUGCCCCAAACUCCUUGGCGGAGACAUCCUUCUCCCCCACCCCCUCCCCCCAAAAAGAGGUCAACUCCCAGGCUCUGUCUACCGAGAGCCAGGGUGAGAGCGGGCAAGGCGAGAGCGACCUCGGUCGUGGGCAAGUAGCUUGUUUUUACGUCCUUCAAUAAAAAUUUUAUGAGGAUCA